GUACGAGAGGACCGGGAUGGACGUAUCUCUGGUGGAUCUGUUGUCCUGCCAAGGGCAUAGCAGAGUAGCUAUAUACGGAAUGGAUAACCGCUGAAGGCAUCUAAGCGGGAAACCAACCUGAAAACGAGUGUUCCCUAUCAGAGCCGUGGAAGACGACCACGUCGAUAGGACGGGUGUGGAAGUGCAGUAAUGCAUGAAGCUUACCGUUACUAAUAGCUCGAGCGACUUCUUCGUUCCCAUU
rnacentral:rRNA from 1 species